rnacentral:rRNA from 1 species
GAUGAACGCUAGCGGCAGGCUUAAUACAUGCAAGUCGAGGGGCAGCGCAGUGUAGCAAUACAUGGGCGGCGACCGGCAAACGGGUGCGGAACACGUACAGAACCUUCCUUCGAGCGGGGAAUAGCCCAGAGAAAUUUGGAUUAAUACCCCAUAGUAUAUUGAGUAGGCAUCUAUUUAAUAUUAAAGAUUAUUCACUUGAAGAUGGCUGUGCGGCUGAUUAGGUAGNGGUCGGGGUAACGGCCCACCAAGCCUGCGAUCAGUAACUGGUGUGAGAGCACGACCAGUCACACGGGCGACUGAGACACGGGCCCGGACUCCUACGGGAGGCAGCAGUAAGGAAUAUUGGUCAAUGGACGCAAGUCUGAACCAGCCAUGCCGCGUGGAGGAUGAAGGUCCUCUGGAUUGUAAACUUCUUUUAUCUGGGACGAAAAGGUCUUUCUAGAUCAACUGACGGUACCAGAUGAAUAAGCACCGG